UUUUGUUUGGAGAUCGUUUGUAGUUUUUUGAGUUUCUCAAAGAGUCGGAUUGAUUUUAUUAUUUUCUUAAAGUAACGGUAUAGUACUAUAAUGUGGAAAAUAAAAAUUAGCAGUACACUAUAGACGAAGAAAUUCCAAACUUAUCCAUUCCGUCAAACACUCCACUAAUUAAUUAAUAGUAAAAAUAUAAUUAUUGAGUUAAAAAUAAAAAAUUAAUU
rnacentral:lncRNA from 1 species